UACGUAGGGUGCGAGCGUUGUCCGGAAUUACUGGGCGUAAAGGGCGCGUAGGCGGCAAUUCAAGUCACUUGUGAAAUCUCUGAGCUUAACUCAGAACGGUCAAGUGAUACUGCUUUGCUAGAGUGCAGAAGGGGCAACCGGAAUUCUUGGUGUAGCGGUGAAAUGCGUAGAUAUCAAGAGGAACACCGGAGGUGAAGACGGGUUGCUGGGCUGACACUGACGCUGGAGGAGCGAAAGCGUGGGGAGCGAACAGG
rnacentral:rRNA from 1 species